UACGUAGGGUGCAAGCGUUAAUCGGAAUUACUGGGCGUAAAGCGUGCGCAGGCGGUUAUGUAAGACAGGUGUGAAAUCCCCGGGCUUAACCUGGGAACUGCAUUUGUGACUGCAUAGCUAGAGUACGGUAGAGGGGGAUGGAAUUCCGCGUGUAGCAGUGAAAUGCGUAGAUAUGCGGAGGAACACCGAUGGCGAAGGCAAUCCCCUGGACCUGUACCGACGCUCAUGCACGAAAGCGUGGGGAGCAAACAGG
rnacentral:rRNA from 1 species